rnacentral:rRNA from 1 species
CCUACGGGCGGCAGCAGUAGGGAAUCUUCCACAAUGGGCGCAAGCCUGAUGGAGCAACACCGCGUGAGUGAAGAAGGUCUUCGGCUCGUAAAGCCCUGUUGUUGGAGAAGAAAGUGCGUGAGAGUAACUGUUCACGCAGUGACGGUAUCCAACCAGAAAGUCACGGCUAACUACGUGCCAGCAGCCGCGGUAAUACGUAGGUGGCAAGCGUUAUCCGGAUUUAUUGGGCGUAAAGCGAGCGCAGGCGGUUGCUUAGGUCUGAUGGGAAAGCCUUCGGCUUAACCGAAGGAGUGCAUUGGAAACUGGGCAACGUGAGUGCAGAAGAGGAGAGUGGAACUCCAUGUGUAGCGGUGGAAUGCGUAGAUAUAUGGAAGAACACCAGUGGCGAAGGCGGCUGUCUGGUCUGUAACUGACGCUGAGGUUCGAAAGCGUGGGUAGCGAACAGGAUUAGAUACCCGAGUAGUC